rnacentral:RNase_P_RNA from 1 species
CAGUCCGGGGGAGGAAAGUCCGGGCAACGCAGAGCGCCGUCCAAGUUAACGGCUUGAUGCCCGCGAGGGCAUAGUAACGUAACAGAGAAUGACCGCCCGCUUGUCGGGUAAGGGUGAAAAGGCGGGGUAAGAGCCCACCGCGGAGGCAGCGAUGUCGUCCGGCAGUACGUCUGACGGGUUGCAAGACCAUGUACACCGGCAGCUAAGGAUUGCUCGUCCGAUGCCGGGGGGUAGGUUGCUUGAGACGGCGGGAGACCGCCGCCCUAGAUAAAUGAUGGAGACGCCGGCUCCGGCCGGCGCACAGAACCCGGCUUACAGGGCC